rnacentral:rRNA from 1 species
UACGUAUGGUGCAAGCGUUGCUCGGAAUCACUGGGCGUAAAGGGUGCGUAGGCGGCCGUUCAAGUCUGGCGUGAAAGCCCCGGGCUCAGCUCGGGAAGUGCGCUCGAAACUGCGCGGCUCGAGUGCCGGAGGGGAGAGUGGAAUUCCUGGUGUAGCGGUGAAAUGCGUAGAUAUCUGGAGGAAUACCGGUGGCGACGGCGGCAUCCUGGACCGACCUUGACGCUGAUGAGCGAAAGCUAGGGGAGCAAACGGG